rnacentral:lncRNA from 1 species
AGAGAGGUAUUGAGGUAUAUUAUUGCCACACGCUAUGUAUCUAUACCAAAGGAGCUGAAAAAACUGGGGGCUUUGGAUCUAUAAAAUUUAUCUGAAAAUAAUUAGUAUUUUUAUUGACACUUUAUAUUAUACAAAAUAUAUCCAGAGGUAAAUUUGGAACAGUAAUUACUAAAUAAUUUUUGUACGAUAAGUUUCCAACUAAUAUUUAUUUCGAUGAUGAUUACUCAACAUAACUCCAAAUAGAUUCAAACUUUUGUAAACUAGCUCUUUCACUAGACAUGUUGUUGCNNNNNNNNNNCACAACACAUGUAUUUCCACCACCCCAAAUAUAUAUUGGUGCUCGGUAUGCGCAUGCAAGUGCUAUACAAGAACAUCAGAUCUACAAGUUUUCACGUAAUCCCCGUCAUGUGAAAGUUGGUGAAUGGCUUAGCGAAAGGGUGACGGAAAAAUGAAUGGGUUAGUGAUAUAAGAGUAGUCUGAGACCUUGUCAUGUGACCCAGUGCCCCAAGCUGGAAUCCUAUGAACCAGUACCUGACACGUGCCUCAUUUUAAAUCAAGAACGGUACGGCUGCCCGUCGGCACCGGACCGGAUGAGCCGGCACCCUAAAUAUCACAACGCCAGCCACCGAAUAAUCUUCGGUCGGCCACCUACCGCCCCACCUUCCGUGCGCACCACUCCUUCUGACACAAGGCUGGGCCACACAAGCCCCAAUCACAUUCUCGCACGUGCCUGGCAUGCGCGCCAUCAACCAUCACAUCAAAAAAAAAAAACACGGAUUUCGCAAGUAAUAAAAUAUUUAGAUAUUAAUUAACUAAAAAAAGUAACGAACAGCUGGGCUCUCACUGUCUUCUGUUGUACCCCGAGAUCACGGGAAUCACAUUGAUAUAAUAGAAAAUUUUGAAUAUAGUAUAAAAACCCAAUUUAUUCGGGGAGCUAAUUUUAUCGCCAUCAUCCACCGAUAUCCACCGCC